rnacentral:rRNA from 1 species
AUGGCGUGGUUGAAUUGGGAUAAGUUAAGGCUACCAAAGAAUAAAGGAGGUAUGGGAUUCAGAGACAUGCGAGCUUUCAACUAAGCUUUAUUGCCUAAGCAAGCAUGGAGAUUAAUUGAUGCUCCUGCAAGUUUAUCUGCUCGUUUGUUAAAGGCGAAAUAUUAUCCGAAUGGUAGCAUUCUUGAUACCGUGUUUACAGGACACUCUUCGGCUGUUUGGAAGGGCAUAGUGCAUGGGUUGGAACUUGUCAAAAAAGGUAUAAUUUGGCGAAUUGGUGAUGGGGCCUCGGUCAGGACAUGGAGGGACCCCUGGAUCCCUCGACGAUUUGAUUUUUGUCCCAUUACUCCUCAGAGGAAUUGUCGUUUUAACCGUGUUUCUAUUUUUUUAGAAAGUGGUGCAUGGAUCAUUGAUUGCCUUAAGAAACAUUUCUGGCCAAUGGACGUUGUCGAAAUUCUCGAAAUUUGAACUUCGCCUAGGAACAUAAGCGAUUUCAUUGGGUGGUUUCUUGAAUCACACGACAUGUUUACGGUCAAAUCGGCCUAUCGUUUGGCAACAGAAGCACAUGAUGUAGUGCAUGCUAGUGGCGCAAGUAGCACAAGUCCGGAUGGUGUGCGUACAAUCUGGAGCAAUAUUUGGAAUUCACAUGUUCCCCUAAAAAUGUGGAUUAUGGCAUGGAGGACAACGUCGGGGUCAUUGGCCACUAAUUUGGCUAAUAACCAGUGA